rnacentral:rRNA from 1 species
UACGUAGGGUGCGAGCGUUAAUCGGAAUUACUGGGCGUAAAGCGUGCGCAGGCGGUUUUGUAAGCCAGAUGUGAAAGCCCCGGGCUCAACCUGGGAAUGGCAUUUGGGACUGCAAGGCUGGAGUGUGGCAGAGGAGACUGGAAUUCCUGGUGUAGCAGUGAAAUGCGUAGAUAUCAGGAGGAAUACCGAUGGCGAAGGCAGGUCUCUGGGCUAACACUGACGCUCAUGCACGAAAGCGUGGGGGAGCAAACAGG